rnacentral:rRNA from 1 species
UACAGAGGGGGCCAGCGUUAUUCGGAAUUAUUGGGCGUAAAGGGCGCGUAGGCGGCUUUGCGUGUCUUUCGUGAAAUCCCUCGGCUCAACUGAGGACGUGCGGAAGAAACUGCAGGGCUGGAGUCCGGGAGAGGAGGGUGGAAUUCCCAGUGUAGCGGUGAAAUGCGUAGAUAGUUGGGAGGAACACCGGUGGCGAAGGCGGCCCUCUGGACCGGUACUGACGCUGAUGCGCGAAAGCGUGGGGAGCGAACAGG